GCCCGCUUAGCUCAUCGGUAGAGCGCGUCACUAGUAUCCCAAUGCCUAUGACGAGGUGACUGGUUCGAUUCCAGUAGUGGGCA